GGACGAACGGCUGGCGGCGUGCUUCAUACAUGCAAGUCGAACGAGAAGUCUACUUCGGUAGAUGGAAAGUGGCGGACGGGUGAGUAAAAUGUAGAGAAUCUGCCCUAGAGAGGGGGACAACAGUUGGAAACGACUGCUAAUACCGCAUAAUGUCUAACCGAGGCAUCUCGGAUAGACCAAAGGAGCAAUCCGCUGUAAGAUGGACUCGCGUCCAAUUAGAUAGUUGGUGGGGGUAACGGCCCACCAAGUCGACGAUUGGUAGCCGGACUGAGAGGUUGAACGGCCACAUUGGGACUGAGACACGGCCCAGACUCCUACGGGAGGCAGCAGUCGGGAAUAUUGCACAAUGGGGGAAACCCUGAUGCAGCGACGCCGCGUAAAGGAAGAAGGUCUUCGGAUUGUAAACUUUUGUCGACAGGGAAGAAGAAAGUGACAGUACCUGUGGAGGAAGCCCCGGCUAACUACGUG
rnacentral:rRNA from 1 species